CAUGCAUGUCUCAGUGCAAGCCGCACUAAGGUGAAACCGCGAAUGGCUCAUUAAAUCAGUUAUGGUUCCUUAGAUGGUGGACAGUUACUUGGAUAACUGUGGUAAUUCUAGAGCUAAUACAUGCAACUCGGUCUCGACCGGAUGCGGAAGGGACGCUUUUAUUAGAUCAAAACCAAUCGGGCGUUCGCGUCCGUUUGCCUUGGUGACUCUGAAUAAAUUGUGGCAGAUCGCACGGUCUCCGUACCGGCGACGCAUCUUUCAAAUGUCUGCCUUAUCAACUGUCGAUGGUAGGUUCUGCGCCUACCAUGGUUGUAACGGGUAACGGGGAAUCAGGGUUCGAUUCCGGAGAGGGAGCCUGAGAAACGGCUACCACAUCCAAGGAAGGCAGCAGGCGCGCAAAUUACCCACUCCCGGCACGGGGAGGUAGUGACGAAAAAUAACGAUACGGGACUCAUCCGAGGCCCCGUAAUCGGAAUGAGCACACUUUAAAUCCUUUAACGAGUAUCCAUUGGAGGGCAAGUCUGGUGCCAGCAGCCGCGGUAAUUCCAGCUCCAAUAGCGUAU
rnacentral:rRNA from 1 species